rnacentral:rRNA from 1 species
GAGUUUGAUCCUGGCUCAGGACGAACGCUGGCGGCGUGCCUAAUACAUGCAAGUAGAACGCUGAAGUCUGGUGCUUGCACUAGACGGAUGAGUUGCGAACGGGUGAGUAACGCGUAGGUAACCUGCCUCAUAGCGGGGGAUAACUAUUGGAAACGAUAGCUAAUACCGCAUAACAGUAUUUACCGCAUGGUAGAUAUUUGAAAGGAGCAAUUGCUUCACUAUGAGAUGGACCUGCGUUGUAUUAGCUAGUUGGUGAGGCAACGGCUCACCAAGGCUUCGAUACAUAGCCGACCUGAGAGGGUGAUCGGCCACACUGGGACUGAGACACGGCCCAGACUCCUACGGGAGGCAGCAGUAGGGAAUCUUCGGCAAUGGGGGCAACCCUGACCGAGCAACGCCGCGUGAGUGAAGAAGGUUUUCGGAUCGUAAAGCUCUGUUGUAAGAGAAGAACGUGUGUGAGAGUGGAAAGUUCACACAGUGACGGUAUCUUACCAGAAAGGGACGGCUAACUACGUGCCAGCAGCCGCGGUAAUACGUAGGUCCCGAGCGUUGUCCGGAUUUAUUGGGCGUAAAGCGAGCGCAGGCGGUUUGAUAAGUCUGAAGUAAAAGGCUGUGGCUUAACCAUAGUACGCUUUGGAAACUGUCAAACUUGAGUGCAGAAGGGGAGAGUGGAAUUCCAUGUGUAGCGGUGAAAUGCGUAGA